ACAAGCUCAGCGGGCUUAUCACAAGCUUUCUUCUCUUUCGGAAAGAGGAAUUCGUUUUUCAUCACCACCACUAAGAAGAGGAAAAAAACAACGUAAAAUGAUUUACAGGAGAUGGAGUUUGUUGACCGGGCCACCUGCAAUCAUAGGCGGAGUCGUUGCCGCCGUCGUGGUUGCUAGUUUCGUUCUUCCAAAUCCAUUUGUGAAGGAGCAGAAGAAACAAAAUUUGUCAUCUACCUCCAAGUAGAUGCAAAGUCGAGAGAGAUGAUAUGAGGUAGCAAUUGGGAUUCAACAUUUGCAAUUUCUUUUUAGCUUGUUAUAUUUGGUUUGUAGACAUUAGUUUAAAUAAAUAACUCGUGGGAUGUAUUUGGAACAACAAAACACCACUUGAAACCAUUCCAUUUUAUGUCUACAAAAUCUCUUCUGUUUUCUGCAUCUCACCAUGACUGUUUUGUAAUUAAUGAAAAUUUUUGGUCAAUGCGUCGAAUUUAACUAACAAGAAAUUUCAGUGAUAUGUGUGCCUAUGUGUUACUGCUGAGUGGAUUACACAACACACUUGAAACACCUUGAAACAUUCUAUUCCAUGUCUGAUUCUUAAUUCUGAACAUUUAUGUAUCUGUACAGUAUAAGAACAUAUUCUUAAUGACAAAGCAUUGUUUCAAUUCA